rnacentral:piRNA from 1 species
UGCAAUUGUCAGGAAUGUCUCCAAAGCUAC